rnacentral:lncRNA from 1 species
CCUCUCUUGUUGCAGAUAAGUGCCUGUUCUCCAUCCAAGAAUCUUAAAGUUGCCCAGUCCCUUUUCAAGAUAAGUGACUUGCCUAGGAUCCCACAGCCAGCGCUGUAACAGGGGAAAGUAUGGUCAUUUAACACAACAGAAGAGUUCCAAGCAUUCAUAAAUAAAAGACCAGACCUGAACAGAAAAUUUGAUGUCCAACCACAAAACUCAAGAGAAUCAUCAAAAGUCAUCAAUGACAAGAAAGAUGAUUUGGAAUGACUAGCAACGGCCCAGGAUACAAUGGAUGACCUUGGAGCUCUAUAGCACCUGUUUCAGCAACCUUUGUGGAUGUUUCAACAAAUUAUUUUCACCCUUCCAUUCCAUUGGGGGAUGUUUUCCCAUGCUUUGGAUAAACAUUGCUACAAUCACCAACAGGUUUAGCCCAUGGGUGUGCAUGCUAAACCUUCUUGGGGCCACAGUUUAACAUUUUGGACACUGAGAUUGGAAGUUGUAGCUGCCUGAGUCACCAGCUAAAGGACUCCAGAUGUGAAGUACCUACAGAACCCACUUAGGGUCAAGUCAGGAGGUCAGUUAGCAGUGUGGCUAGGUAAUCUGAAACUUUCAGAAAAAGGACUUGAUCUCAUGUAUUUAGGAACGUGACCCACUCUUUAAUCAGGAGGUAAAAAGAGCAUCAUAGUUAUACAGAGGGGACUACCAGACCC